GAUGAAAAUCAGUAGCCUUGUUCCUUGAAAACUAGAUAAUCGUAAUAGAAGAAGUAACCAAGUAAGAACCGAGUAAUCGCUCAUUUAUGGUUUUAAACCUUUUAGGNUAGGAUCCUUACCUGAAUUCAUAGGGUAAGGAAGGCAGACCCGGGGAACUGAAACAUCUAAGUACCCGGAGGAAGAGAAAGCAAACGCGAUUCCCCAAGUAGCGGCGAGCGAAACGGGAACAGCCCAAACCGAAAGGCUUGCCUUUCGGGGUUGUAGGACACUCAACAUGGAGUUACAAAGGAACGGAGUAGACGAAGCGAUCUGGAAAGGUCCGCAAGAGAA
rnacentral:rRNA from 1 species